rnacentral:lncRNA from 1 species
CUCCUGCCUCAGCCUCCUGAGUAGCUGGGAUUACAGGCAUGCACCACCACGCCCAGCUAAUUUUGUAUUUUUAGUAGAGAUGGGGUUUCUCCAUGUUGGUCAGGCUGGUCUCAAACUCCUGACUUCAGGUGAUCCAGCCACCUCGGCCUCCCAAAGUGCUGGGAUUAUAGGUGUGAGCCACCGCACAUGGCAACACGUUCUACAUUUCAAAGUGACAUAAGAAUAAUUUUUAAAAAUUCCAACACUCCAAGGCUGGGCGUGGUGGCUCACGCCUGUAAUCCCAGCACUUUGGGAGGCCAAGGUGGGUGGAUCACGAGGUCAGGAGAUCGAGACGAUCCUGGCUAACACCGUGAAACCCCAACUCUACUAAAAAUACAAAAAAUUAGCCAGGAGUAGUGGCACAUGACUGUAGUCCCAACUACUUGGGAGGCUGAGGCAGGAGAAUCGCUUGAACCUGGGAGGCAGAGGUUGCAGUUAGCUGAGAUCGCGCCACUGCACUCCAGCCUGGGCGACAGAAUGAGACUCCGUCUCAAAAAAAAAAAAAAAAA